rnacentral:rRNA from 1 species
AACGAACGCUGGCGGCAUGCCUAACACAUGCAAGUCGAGCGAGCCCUUCGGGACUUGUGGCGCCCGGGUGUGUCACCCGUGGGAACCUGCACUUAGGUUCGGACUAACUCUCCGACAGGGGUGACAAUACCGGACAAUGUCUUCGGACCAAUGAUUUAUCGCCUUUGAAUGGGCCCGCGUUGGAUUAGCUGGUUGCGAGGGUAAAAGCAUACUACGGCGUCGAUCCAUAGCUUGUUUGAGAGGAUGAUCAGCCACACCUAGACGGAGAAACGGCCGAGACUCCUACGGGAGGCAGCAGUGGGGAACAGUGCACAAUGGGCGAAGGCCUGAUCCAGCAAGGCCGGGUGAGUGAUGAAGUCAGGAGAGUUCUAAAGCGCUUGUAACCGGGAAGAUAAUGACGGUACCGGGAGAAUAAGCUCCGGCUAACUCCGUG